UUGCAGCGUCACAGAAAAUGAUGCUUUCUCCUGCCAAGUCCCAUCUUUUGGGAGGAGGAAAUUGAUUAGGUCCUGGAGCUUUUCGUAAAUGCAUCAAGUGACUUUCUCAGCAUCAUCUGACACAUGCAGCCAUCCAGCCCAGAACACAACAAGAAUAGAGUUGAUGAGCCCUCUUUUCCUCAACAAACACCUGUGAAAAAUGGGCCAAUUCACAGCUGCAAUCGUUGGGAGAAUUUCCUGUCUGGGAGUCUGGAAACUGCCAAGAGUGGAAAGCUGCAGCCAGCCAGCGAGGCCUCUGUUGUCACUGGCCCAAACAACAACAAAAACAACCGCAACAACAACAACAACAACAAAACAUGCCACGUGUGCACUGGCAUAUACAAACACGCCCACAGAACCAAACCAAGCGGACAAGGCUUCAAGGAGAGCUUCUGGGCGGCUCAUUCCCGCGGCGAGGCAUAUCCCUUGGCAUGGUGCCACUGCAGCCCAGCUCCCAGCCCCCCCGCCAUCUGUCAUCAGCGCUCUGCCUACUGUGGCAUUUCCCUCUUUGCUCAGCACUUCUCCUUAUUGCCAUCAUAUGAAAAAGGAGGUGUUUGAUUCCCCUUCCACCAUGAUUGUAAGUUUCCUGAGGCCUCCCCAGCCAUGCUGAAAUGUGAGUUAAUUAAACCUCUUUCCUUUAUAAAUUA
rnacentral:lncRNA from 1 species